ACAUGCCUAUUAGCUCAAGAGAAAGGCCCAAACUUGGUAACCCAAUUACAGAACGACGCAUUAUGAUCUCCAGAUAACGGCAUGGCGGAGCAGAUGGUGUCUUCCAGUUGCUGUAGAAGUCACUGCUGCACUUAUUGAGGUUUAGCAAAAAGAUAUUUAUUUCAGUGAACUGGUUUUGUUGAUGCUAGAGUUGACAUCGGCAAAGAUGCUUUGGCUCAGAGGAGACGCUAGCCAUGUUGUGUUGCAUGGCAAUCAUGAGGCAAUUGUUGUGCUUUUGAUGAAUUGGUCUCUAAGUCUGUCUGUCAAUGCACUGCAAAAGAAAAAGAACAAAGAAAACUAAAAUGACGGCUCAUGAAUGGUGUUGUUCAGAAGACCCGUAAGAAGACGGAGGUAUCAAUUGCUGAGGCAGCUGAUGCAAUCAACCUUCCCCGUAUGUUGAUUGAUAUUCGUCAUGAAGGUUCUCACCGUGACCUCCCUUCACUCAGACUGGUUCGUCUUGCUUCAGUAAAGGUUGCUUGUAAUCGUAAAUUGGAUUAGGUUCUUGAAUUAUUGGUUUGAUGUCAUAAUUAUCAUCCAUGAAUGGAGCGUUCUUUUCUUGCCCGAUACGAGAAUUAGCUUCGCGGCAUACUGAAGACCUUUGUUUAGGGGCUGGCCUGUUUAGUGUACAAUAGCCCCUGGAAACUGUCUGACUUUGUUGGGAAGUUUGGAUAGAUGCACAUGGGCCUCAAGCUUACUACUACGCGCAGGAAAGAUUCUGGUAAUGCAGCCGAAGGUUGUUCAGCUGAUUCUAGUUUGCCAAAGGCAAUUCUUGUAGAGCUUCUGCGUAAAUGUCUUCUGGCUUCAUGGCCUGGCAACGAGCAGCUCAGGAGUUCGGCCUUAGUGCUCGCGCACAUGAUUGGAAAUAGCUCCUUGAUUUACAAGCUCAACAAACUCCUCUGUUUGCUGGCUCCACCUCCUCCAAUGUGGGUUGAUGAACAAAACUCUCCCAUCUCUAAUCACGAAGACAUCCUCGCUCAGCACAAGGAGUCCAUUCGUAAGGCAGAGGCUUUUAGCCUUCACCAAGGGCAGCAGAAGAGCACUGUGGUCAAGGCAAAGGAUGGGGACGUCACAGGACAGACUGUGGCGAAAUCAUGGAACAAAUGCCCGAUCGGUAUGCUGCCUCGUGACAUCGGUUCUGCUGGUCGCCUUCCUGUUCUGGACUGCAGCGAUGAAUGUUCAUUAUAAGAAAGCAGGGAAUUAAGCGAGGAGGCUAAGCAACCAGAAGACAACUGGAGUACAAAGAAGAGAAGGGAGAUUGAGUUGGAUGAUGCGCAUGAAUCAGAUGGUGAGGAUUUGGAUGCAUCUUGGGAAGGCCAGAUAACGAUGGAUUGGGGGCGGGGGAAGGAAGAGCUGCGUGCCAUUGCAUCAGCUGUCCAUUCGGUGGGAUUAAGGUUUUGUGAUGAAUUGACGAUGAUGAGGGACCCACCCAAAUUACUUCGCGUGGGAGAGGGGUAUGAAUUAUGAGUCAGAAGAAGAGCCAGUUAUACGAUAUUGGCCUGUUUGGUCAUAUUGUGGGUUGGUCAAAAGGCAUUUCUGAGCAAAUAGAUAGGAGCCCUUUUCUUUUUUUAAGGCAGCCAUAGCUAUUUUUUAUUUUUACAGUGGAAGAGUGAGUGGGAGAAUAUUUCAAGUUUCUACUACAGAGAAUAUACAAAUAUACAAAAUAUAAUUACAUUGCUAAA